UUGAAAUAGGCUGUCAAAGUAACUGUAGAGUAGCCUUAUACAUAUUUGCAUUGCAUUAAUUUGUACCAUUUAAUCAUGUAACUAUGUUUAAUUGCAAUUUUCCAAAGUGUGGCCCUCCGUUUACUUUGCCAAAGUAACUGUGGCCCUCAGACUAAAACUGUUGCCCACCCCUGUGCUAGAGGAAUUGAAAACAACUUUUGCAGAUGCAGACCCUGAGUGUAUACAAGCGUGUUGCAAGACAUACUUUGAAACACUUCGGAGAAUGUACAAUUUGUCUCAGCCAGAAAAGUCCCAGCUAAGAGAUGCCAUUAAAACAGGAGCUA